rnacentral:rRNA from 1 species
CCUACGGGUGGCAGCAGUGAGGAAUAUUGCACAAUGGACGCAAGUCUGAUGCAGCAACGCCGCGUGGAGGAUGAAGGUCUUUGGAUUGUAAACUCCUUUUCUCAGGGAAGAGAAUGGACGGUACCUGAGGAAUAAGUCACGGCUAACUACGUGCCAGCAGCCGCGGUAAUCCGUAGGUGGCAAGCGCUAUCCGGAAUUACUGGGCGUAAAGCGCACGCAGGCGGUCUCUUAAGUUUGACGUGAAAGCUCUCGGCUUAACUGGGAGAGGGCGUUGAAUACUGGGAGACUUGAGGCAAUGAGAGGGGUGGAGAAUUCCCGGUGUAGUGGUGGAAUGCGUAGAUAUCGGGGGGAAUACCAGUGGCGAAAGCGGCACCCUAGCGUUGUACUGACGCUCAUGUGCGAAAGCGUGGGGAGCGAACGGGAUUAGAUACCCUAGUAGUC